UACGUAGGGUGCGAGCGUUGUCCGGAAUUAUUGGGCGUAAAGAGCUCGUAGGCGGUGUGUCACGUCGGCCGUGAAAACCUGCAGCUUAACUGUGGGCGUGCGGUCGAUACGGGCAUCACUGGAGUUCGGCAGGGGAGACUGGAAUUCCUGGUGUAGCGGUGAAAUGCGCAGAUAUCAGGAGGAACACCGGUGGCGAAGGCGGGUCUCUGGGUAGUAACUGACGCUGAGGAACGAAAGCGUGGGUAGCGAACAGGAUUAGAAACUCCCGGU
rnacentral:rRNA from 1 species